CCUACGGGUGACAGCAGUGAGGAAUAUUGGUCAAUGGGCGGAAGCCUGAACCAGCCAAGUCGCGUGAGGGAUUAAGGCCCUGCGGGUCGUAACCUCUUUUGCCGGGGAGCAGAGGUCCGGACGUGUCCGGGCCGGGAGAGUACCCGGAGAAAAAGCAUAGGCUAACUCCGUGCCAGCAGCCGCGGUAAUACGGAGGAUGCGACCGUUAUCCGGAUUUAUUGGGUGUAAAGGGUGCGUAGGCGGGCGUUUAAGCCGGCGGUCAAAUGGCGGGGCCCACCCCCGGCCUGCCGUCGGAACUGGGUGCCUUGAGUGGGCUAGAGGUAUGCGGAAUGCGUGGUGUAGCGGUGAAAUGCUUAGAGAUCACGCAGAACCCCGAUUGCGAAGGCAGCAUACCGGCGCCCUACUGACGCUGAGGCACGAAAGUGCGGGUAUCGAACAGGAUUAGAUACCCCAGUAGUC
rnacentral:rRNA from 1 species